AUUGAACGCUGGCGGCAGGCCUAACACAUGCAAGUCGAACGAGUGGCGGACGGGUGAGUAAUGUCUGGGAAACUGCCUGAUGGAGGGGGAUAACUACUGGAAACGGUAGCUAAUACCGCAUACCAUCGGAUGUGCCCAGAUGGGAUUAGCUUGUAGGUGAGGUAACGGCUCACCUAGGCGACGAUCCCUAGAUGGUCUGAGAGGAUGACCAGGCAAACUGGAACUGAUACACGGUCAAGAUUCCUACGGGAGGCAGCAGUGGGGAAUAUUGCACAAGGGGCGCAAGUCUGAGGAAGUCAGGCCGCGUGUAUGAAGAAGGCAUUCGGGUUGUAAAGUACUUGCAGCGGGGAGGCGUUACCCGCAGAAGAAGCACCGGCUAACUCCGUGCCAGCAGCCGCGGGAAUUC
rnacentral:rRNA from 1 species